rfam:Aneurinibacillus migulanus strain DSM 2895 super7, whole genome shotgun sequence.
CCGCAUACCUGGCCUAGUCCCGGUGCACCCGGGAGCGGAGGACCCACUUUUUUUGGGGUUAAUCCUUAUGUUAUGUAAGGAGGGAUGAGAACAACUCUUUCGCCAUCCUACCCGUCAGCUAACUUCGUCGGCUAAUGCGAGGGAGGUC